rnacentral:lncRNA from 1 species
CUUGGUUCGCUUGGAUGUGGAAAGUCAGAUGUGAAUCAUCUUCCUGGGAAAGCACUGAGUAAUGCUUGAGUGCUUGGGAAAAUGUCAAACCAGCCGACUGGCUGUUGGAGAAUGCCAAGGAAGGGAAGAAAUCCUUCUGCUGAGGCUCAGAGACCUUCUGGGUAGAGAACCGCUCUACUGCUCCAAGACUGGCAGCUCACUUUGUGGUGGCAAAGAACUAGAAACUGGAGAGAUGUCCAUUCAUUGGAGUAUGAUUGAAUAAGUUACAAUUGCUGUGGAAUUUUACUGCUACCUAAGAAAUGACAAGUUGGUUAAUUUAGGAAAACCAUGGAAAGAUCAAUAUGAAAUUAAGAAGAAUGAAAUGAACAGAGCCAAGAAAACAAUAUACAGCAAAAGAAAUAUUGUUUGAAAAAUGAUUUGUAUGUUUCCAUCUCCAGAGGAACAAUUGAGGAAGAAAUAACUGAC